CAGCCGCCCGGUAACACGUAGGUGGCAAGCGUUGUCCGGAAUUAUUGGGCGUAAAGGGCUCGCAGGCGGUUUCUUAAGUCUGAUGUGAAAGCCCACGGCUCAACCGUGGAGGGUCAUUGGAAACUGGAAAACUUGAGUGCAGAAGAGGAAAGUGGAAUUCCAUGUGUAGCGGUGAAAUGCGCAGAGAUAUGGAGGAACACCAGUGGCGAAGGCGACUUUCUGGUCUGUAACUGACGCUGAUGUGCGAAAGCGUGGGGAUCAAACAGGAUUAGAUACCCCGGUAGUCCCUGUCUCUUAUACA
rnacentral:rRNA from 1 species